rnacentral:rRNA from 1 species
CGAGUAUCAAGCAGAGGGCAAGUCUGGUGCCAGCAGCCGCGGUAAUUCCAGCUCUGCAAAUACAUAGAAUUAUUGCUGCGGUUAGAAAGCUCAUAGUUGGAUUCGUAUCGAUACCUUGGAACCCUUCGGGUGUCUCUAGGUGUUAUCGAUUUAUCGUAAUGUUCGGUUUUGAGUCCUUAACAGGAUUCUUAACAGGCAUUGCAAGUUUACUUUGAACAAAUCAGAGUGCUUCAAACAGGCGUUUUCGCUUGAAUGAUCGUGCAUGGAAUAAUAGAAAAUGAUUUCGGUUCAGUUUUAUUGGUUUUACGGACUGAGAUAAUGGUUAACAGAGACAAACGGGGGCAUUUGUAUGGUCCCGUGAGAGGUGAAAUUCUUGGACCGUGGCCAGACAAACUACAGCGAAAGCAUUUGCCAAGAAUGUUUUUAUUAAUCAAGAACGAAAGUCAGAGGUUCGAAGGCGAUCAGAUACCGCCCUAGUUCUGACCGUAAACGAUGCCAACUAGCGAUCCGCCGAUGGAA